rnacentral:rRNA from 1 species
AGUGAACGCUGGCGGUAGGCCUAACACAUGCAAGUCGAACGGCAGCACAGUAAGAGCUUGCUCUUACGGGUGGCGAGUGGCUGACGGGUGAGGAAUACAUCGGAAUCUACUUUUUCGUGGGUGAUAACGUAGGUAAACUUACGCUAAUACCGCAUACGACCUACGGGUGAAAGCAUUGGAUCUUCGGACCUUGCGCGAUUGAAUGAGCCGAUGUCGGGUUAGCUAGUUGGCGGGGUAAAGGCCCACCAAGUCGACGAUCCGUAGCUGGUCUGAGAGGAUGAUCAGCCAAACUGGAAGUGAGACCCGGUCCAGACUCCUACGGGAGGCAGAAGUCGGGAAUCUUGGCAAAUGGGCGCAAGCUUGACCCAGCCAUACCCCGUGGGUGAGGAAGGCCUUGGGGUUGGAAAGCCUUUUUGUUGGGAAAGAAAAGCAGCAGCUUAAUACCCCGCUGUUCUGACGGUACCCAAAGAAUAAGCACCGGCUAACUUCGUG